rnacentral:rRNA from 1 species
GACGAACGCUGGCGGCGUGCUUUACACAUGCAAGUCGAACGGAAAGGCCCUGCUUUUGUGGGGUACUCGAGUGGCGAACGGGUGAGUAACACGUGAGUAACCUGCCCUUGACUUUGGGAUAACUUCAGGAAACUGGGGCUAAUACCGGAUAGGAGCUCCUGCUGCAUGGUGGGGGUUGGAAAGUUUCGGCGGUUGGGGAUGGACUCGCGGCUUAUCAGCUUGUUGGUGGGGUAGUGGCUUACCAAGGCUUUGACGGGUAGCCGGCCUGAGAGGGUGACCGGCCACAUUGGGACUGAGAUACGGCCCAGACUCCUACGGGAGGCAGCAGUGGGGAAUAUUGCACAAUGGGCGGAAGCCUGAUGCAGCAACGCCGCGUGCGGGAUGACGGCCUUCGGGUUGUAAACCGCUUUCGCCUGUGACGAAGCGUGAGUGACGGUAAUGGGUAAAGAAGCACCGGCUAACUACGUG